rnacentral:rRNA from 1 species
UUAAGUGACUAAGCGUACACGGUGGAUGCCUUGGCAGUCAGAGGCGAUGAAAGACGUAGUAACUUGCGAUAAGCCCAGAUUAGGUAGUAACAACCAUUUGAGUCUGGGAUUUCUGAAUGGGGAAACCCACGUGCAUAAGCACGUAUCCUUACCUGAAUACAUAGGGUAAGGAGGCGAACCGGGGAAACUGAAACAUCUAAGUACCCCGAGGAAAAGAAAUCAACCGAGAUUCCGAAAGUAGCGGCGAGCGAAAUUGGACUAGCCCUUAAGCUUUACACGCGUUAGACGAACGGUCUGGAAAGUCCGACGAUACAGGGUGAUAGUCCCGUAGUUGACGACGUGUGUUCAGUGAAAUCGAGUAGGGCGGGACACGUGAUAUCCUGUCUGAAUAUGGGGGGACCAUCCUCCAAGGCUAAAUACUACUGACUGACCGAUAGUGAACCAGUACCGUGAGGGAAAGGCGAAAAGAACCCCUGUGAGGGGAGUGAAAUAGAACCUGAAACCGUGUACGUACAAGCAGUAGGAGCAGGCUUUGUCCUGUGACUGCGUACCUUUUGUAUAAUGGGUCAGCGACUUAUAUUCAGUGGCAAGGUUAACCAUCUAGGGGAGCCGUAGGGAAACCGAGUCUUAACUGGGCGUUCAGUCUCUGGAUAUAGACCCGAAACCAGGUGAUCUAGCCAUGGGCAGGUUGAAGGUUGAGUAACAUCAACUGGAGGACCGAACCGACUAAUGUUGAAAAAUUAGCGGAUGACUUGUGGCUAGGGGUGAAAGGCCAAUCAAACCUGGAGAUAGCUGGUUCUCCCCGAAAGCUAUUUAGGUAGCGCCUCGGACGAAUACUACUGGGGGUAGAGCACUGUUAAGGCUAGGGGGUCAUCCCGACUUACCAACCCUUUGCAAACUCCGAAUACCAGUAAGUACUAUCCGGGAGACACACGGCGGGUGCUAACGUCCGUCGUGGAGAGGGAAACAACCCAGACCGCCAGCUAAGGUCCCAAAUUACUACUAAGUGGGAAACGAUGUGGGAAGGCUCAGACAGCCAGGAUGUUGGCUUAGAAGCAGCCAUCAUUUAAAGAAAGCGUAAUAGCUCACUGGUCGAGUCGGCCUGCGCGGAAGAUGUAACGGGGCUAAGUAGUAAACCGAAGCUGCGGCAAUGUGCUUUUGCACAUUGGGUAGGGGAGCGUUCUGUAAGCGGUUGAAGGUGUGUGGUAACGCAUGCUGGACGUAUCAGAAGUGCGAAUGCUGACAUGAGUAACGAUAAAGGGGGUGAAAAACCUCCUCGCCGGAAGACCAAGGGUUCCUGUCCAACGUUAAUCGGGGCAGGGUAAGUCGACCCCUAAGGCGAGGCCGAAAGGCGUAGUCGAUGGGAAACGGGUUAAUAUUCCCGUACUUCUUACAAUUGCGAUGGGGGGACGGAGAAGGCUAGGUGGGCCUGGCGACGGUUGUCCAGGUUCAAGUGCGUAGGCUUGAGAGUUAGGUAAAUCCGGCUCUUUUUAAGGCUGAGACACGACGUCGAGCAAUCUACGGAUGUGAAGUCAUUGAUGCCAUGCUUCCAGGAAAAGCCUCUAAGCUUCAGAUUGUAAGGAAUCGUACCCCAAACCGACACAGGUGGUCGGGUAGAGAAUACCAAGGCGCUUGAGAGAACUCGGGUGAAGGAACUAGGCAAAAUGGUACCGUAACUUCGGGAGAAGGUACGCUCUCGACGGUGAAGUCCCUCGCGGAUGGAGCUAUUGAGAGUCGCAGAUACCAGGUGGCUGCAACUGUUUAUUAAAAACACAGCACUGUGCAAAAUCGUAAGAUGACGUAUACGGUGUGACGCCUGCCCGGUGCCGGAAGGUUAAUUGAUGGGGUUAGACUUCGGUCGAAGCUCUUGAUCGAAGCCCCGGUAAACGGCGGCCGUAACUAUAACGGUCCUAAGGUAGCGAAAUUCCUUGUCGGGUAAGUUCCGACCUGCACGAAUGGCGUAAUGAUGGCCACGCUGUCUCCACCCGAGACUCAGUGAAAUUGAAAUCGCUGUGAAGAUGCAGUGUACCCGCGGCUAGACGGAAAGACCCCGUGAACCUUUACUACAGCUUGGCACUGAACAUUGACCCUACAUGUGUAGGAUAGGUGGAGGCUUUGAAGCACGUACGCCAGUAUGUGUGGAGCCGUCCUUGAAAUACCACCCUUGUAGUGUUGAUGUUCUAACGUCGACCCCUUAUCGGGGUUGCGGACAGUGCCUGGUGGGUAGUUUGACUGGGGCGGUCUCCUCCCAAAGAGUAACGGAGGAGCACGAAGGUGGGCUAAUCACGGUUGGACAUCGUGAGGUUAGUGCAAUGGCAUAAGCCCGCUUGACUGCGAGAAUGACAAUUCGAGCAGGUGCGAAAGCAGGUCAUAGUGAUCCGGUGGUUCUGAAUGGAAGGGCCAUCGCUCAACGGAUAAAAGGUACUCCGGGGAUAACAGGCUGAUACCGCCCAAGAGUUCAUAUCGACGGCGGUGUUUGGCACCUCGAUGUCGGCUCAUCACAUCCUGGGCUGAAGUCGGUCCCAAGGGUAUGGCUGUUCGCCAUUUAAAGUGGUACGCGAGCUGGGUUUAGAACGUCGUGAGACAGUUCGGUCCCUAUCUGCCGUGGGCGUUGGAAGAUUGAAGGGGGCUGCUCCUAGUACGAGAGGACCGGAGUGGACGAACCUCUGGUGUUCGGGUUGUGUCGCCAGACGCAUUGCCGGUAGCUAAGUUCGGAAUCGAUAACCGCUGAAAGCAUCUAAGCGGGAAGCGAGCCCUGAGAUGAGUCUUCCCUGAUACUUUAAGUAUCCUAAAGGGUUGUCGGAGACUACGACGUUGAUAGGUCAGGUGUGUAAGUGCUGUGAGGCAUUGAGCUAACUGAUACUAAUUGCCCGUGAGGCUUAACCAU